CGUGCCUAACACAUGCAAGUCGAACGGAGAUUAAGAUGAAGCUUGCGAUUCUUAAUCUUAGUGGCGGACGGGUGAGUAACGCGUGGGUAAUCUGCCCAUAAGAGGGGGAUAACACCGGGAAACUGGUGCUAAUACCGCAUAAGCUGCGAGAGUCGCAUGGCUUUAGCAGUAAAGGUGGCCUCUGAAUAUGCUACCGCUUAUGGAUGAGCCCGCGUCUGAUUAGCUAGUUGGUGGGGUAAAGGCCUACCAAGGCGACGAUCAGUAGCCGGCCUGAGAGGGUGUACGGCCACACUGGAACUGAGACACGGUCCAGACUCCUACGGGAGGCAGCAGUGGGGAAUAUUGCGCAAUGGGGGAAACCCUGACGCAGCGACGCCGCGUGAGCGACGAAGGCUUUCGGGUUGUAAAGCUCUGUUCUAAGGGACGAAGUGCUCUUCUGUGAAUAAUGGGAGAGAGCGACGGUACCUUAGGAGAAAGCCCCGGCUAACUACGUG
rnacentral:rRNA from 1 species